ACGGAAGGCAGCAGUGGGGAAUAUUGCACAAUGGGCGCAAGCCUGAUGCAGCAACGCCGCGUGAGGGAAGACGGUUUUCGGAUUGUAAACCUCUGUUCUUAGUGACGAAGAAGUGACGGUAGCUAAGGAGCACGCCACGGCUAACUACGUGCCAGCAGCCGCGGUAAUACGUAGGUGGCAAGCGUUAUCCGGAAUUACUGGGUGUAAAGGGAGCGCAGGCGGGAUAGCAAGUCAGCGGUGAAAUGUAUGGGCUUAACCCAGGAACUGCCGUUGAAACUGUUAGGCUUGAGUGGAGGAGAGGCAGGCGGAAUUCCGAGUGUAGCGGUGAAAUGCGUAGAUAUUAGGAGGAACACCAGUGGCGAAGGCGGCCUGCUGGGCUGUAACUGACGCUGAGGCUCGAAAGUGUGGGGAGCAAACAGGAUUAGAUACCCUGGUA
rnacentral:rRNA from 1 species